rnacentral:rRNA from 1 species
GACGAACGCUGGCGGCGUGCCUAAUACAUGCAAGUAGAACGCUGAAGAGAGGAGCUUGCUCUUCUUGGAUGAGUUGCGAACGGGUGAGUAACGCGUAGGUAACCUGCCUUGUAGCGGGGGAUAACUAUUGGAAACGAUAGCUAAUACCGCAUAACAAUGGAUGACACAUGUCAUUUAUUUGAAAGGGGCAAUUGCUCCACUACAAGAUGGACCUGCGUUGUAUUAGCUAGUAGGUGAGGUAAUGGCUCACCUAGGCGACGAUACAUAGCCGACCUGAGAGGGUGAUCGGCCACACUGGGACUGAGACACGGCCCAGACUCCUACGGGAGGCAGCAGUAGGGAAUCUUCGGCAAUGGGGGCAACCCUGUCCGAGCAACGCCGCGUGAGUGAAGAAGGUUUUCGGAUCGUAAAGCUCUGUUGUAAGUCAAGAACGGGUGUGAGAGUGGAAAGUUCACACUGUGACGGUAGCUUACCAGAAAGGGACGGCUAACUACGUG